rnacentral:rRNA from 1 species
CAAAGGAGCAAUCCGCUGAAAGAUGGGCUCGCGUCCGAUUAGGUAGUUGGCGGGGCAACGGCCCACCAAGCCGACGAUCGGUAGCCGGACUGAGAGGUUGAACGGCCACAUUGGGACUGAGACACGGCCCAGACUCCUACGGGAGGCAGCAGUGAGGGAUAUUGGUCAAUGGGGGAAACCCUGAACCAGCAACGCCGCGUGAGGGAAGACGGUUUUCGGAUUGUAAACCUCUGUCCUCUGUGAAGAUGAUGACGGUAGCAGAGGAGGAAGCUCCGGCUAACUACGUGCCAGCAGCCGCGGUAAUACGUAGGGAGCAAGCGUUGUCCGGAUUUACUGGGUGUAAAGGGUGCGUAGGCGGCUUUGCAAGUCAGAAGUGAAAUCCAUGGGCUUAACCCAUGAACUGCUUUUGAAACUGCAGAGCUUGAGUGGAGUAGAGGUAGGCGGAAUUCCCGGUGUAGCGGUGAAAUGCGUAGAGAUCGGGAGGAACACCAGUGGCGAAGGCGGCCUGCUGGGCUCUAACUGACGCUGAGGCACGAAAGCGUGGGUAGCAAACAGGAUUAGAUACCCUGGUAGUCCACGCUGUAAACGAUGAUUACUAGGUGUGGGUGGACUGA